GAUGAAGAACGUAGCGAAAUGCGAUACUUGGUGUGAAUUGCAGAAUCCCGUGAACCAUCGAGUCUUUGAACGCAAGUUGCGCCCGAAGCCAUUAGGCCGAGGGCACGCCUGCCUGGGUGUCACACAUCGUUACCCCAACGCAAACAUGUAACAAUGUUGCUGCGCGGGGUGUAUGCUGACCUCCCGCGAGCACCCGCCUCGUGGUUGGUUGAAAUCUGGGUUCAUGGCCGACUUCGCCGUGAUAAAAUGGUGGAUGAGCCACGCUCGAGACCAAUCACGUGCGAGCCGGUCAGUUCUGGACCCAUCGACGACCCUUUGCGUGCACGCACGCUCCCAACGAGACCUCAGGUCAGGCGGGGCUACCCGCUGAGUUUAAGCAUAUCAAUAGCGGAGGA
rnacentral:misc_RNA from 1 species